AGGAAAAGAAACUAACAAGGAUUCCCCUAGUAACUGCGAGUGAAGCGGGAAAAGCUCAAAUUUAAAAUCUGGUAGUCUCUGGCUGCCCGAGUUGUAAUCUAGAGAAGCAUUAUCCGCGCUGGACCGUGUAUAAGUGUCCUGGAAUGGACCAUCAUAGAGGGUGAGAAUCCCGUCUUUGACACGGACUCCCAGGGCUUUGUGAUGUGCUCUCAAAGAGUCGAGUUGUUUGGGAAUGCAGCUCUAAAUGGGUGGUAAAUUCCAUCUAAAGCUAAAUAUUGGCGAGAGACCGAUAGCGAACAAGUACCGUGAGGGAAAGAUGAAAAGAACUUUGGAAAGAGAGUUAAACAGUACGUGAAAUUGCUGAAAGGGAAACGCUUGAAGUCAGUCGCGUUAGCUGGGGAUCAACCUUGCUUUUCUGCUUGGCUUACUUCCCAGUUGACGGGUCAGCAUCAGUUUUGACCAAUGGAUAAAGGCUAGGGAAAUGUGGCACCUCCGGGUGUGUUAUAGCCCUUGGUCAUAUACAUUGGUUGGGACU
rnacentral:rRNA from 1 species